UCUUAGUUUGAAGUGGGGGGUUAGUGUGGACCAGCCCCAAGUCUCACAAGAAACCCCUUAGUGACCUAAACUGCCUGACUCCAGGCAUCAGGUUCCUAUUCCUGGAUCGCUAAGCAGAGAUAAGCAUCUUCCUGCUGCCCAGACUUAGGUGCCUAUCUCCAAGAGCGGAUCAGGGCUUAGCACACCCACCUCUUGUCAGCAUCCCCCAUUGGCUGGCUUAGGUGGCUUCCUGCCUAGGAUGCUGGGUUUUGUGGAUCACAUUUUUAGGCACCUAUCUCACCUCAUUCAUUAUAUGGAGAACCUAGUCGCCUAACUCGGCUUUGUGGAUUGCAGUGCUGUUCUUGUAAUUUUCUAGGUGCCAUGACACUCAGCAUUGCAACACCUUAGUCCUUUCAUGAAUCCUACCCUUUGUGCCCAUGCUUUGUUGAAUUGUGAUAUGAUUGUAGCUCUGUUGGUACAAUUUAAUCGCAUGGGUGCUUAUUUCUUUACUGCUGGGGUCAUUUACUGUUACCAGCAAAUGCAAAAGAUCAUCCUUAUAUGAUCACACUCCAUAGUUCAAGGAAGUAGUUUCAUCCAGUUAUACAGAAUGCCUUACCCAUUAAGCUUGCCUCUGGGUUGAUUCCCCUACUUCCAUAAUCAGGCCAUGUAAUGCUAUAAUUGACUUUAUUUAUACACUGUAAUAUUGUAGAUUGGCUUGUUAAUGGAGAUGAAAUGACCUUGUUUACAAGAUGACUCAGAGAAUCAGGCAAUGUGCACAGACAUUACAGGCUCAUACAGUAAAACAAAACAGGGUAGAAAGAUUUAAAUUCAGUCUGAGUGCAUUUUUAUUGCAGUCUGAGUAUCUUUCUGUUUUUGGAAAACAUUAACAUUAUUCCAGACCAAGUUGCUUCCUGAUUUCUAACACUAACUAAUGGGACCCUCUCACAGUUUUUCUACUUCAGGUUCUCGGUAGAGCAUUGCUGUAUAUUCAGGGUGAAAUCCUGGCCCUAACACACAGUCCAUGAGAAUUUUGCCAUUGACUUCAGUGGCACCAAGAUUUCACUCUCAAUCUAAGGCAAUGAUAGAGAAACUAGUAUGGGCCCUAUUUCUACUGUUGCUGUAAUUCAGUUAUUCAUGAAGUGCUUAUGCUUUAGGACUACAUUUCUACUGCAGUUAAUUUAGUUUAUUGUAAUGACUUCAUAGUUAAUAUUGAUUUAGUUUUAUUUUCUUACUUCAAGAAAUAGCAGGAAUUGGACUAUAUAAUAAGAAUUUAAUGUCAGCUUCUGGAAGGUUGAUUAGGACAGACUGAAUACAAGAUGUCAGUUAAAAUAACCAUCACAGUACUUUAAAAAAGGACAGGUCUUUCUAACCUGUUGCAGCAGAAGACAUCAAAAAAACUCUUAAGACUGUGUAUUUAUCAGACUUCAGCUUCUAAUUUCUUUGAGUACAGUGCCAAGACCCACUCCUCAUAACUCUCUUUUCUGUGGAUUAGGAGUUAGAAGCUUAGUGGAAAAGUUCUGAAUUGGGAAACAUGUCUGCAAAUGAGUCACCUCCUCUAAUGCAAUGCUACAGUGCUAAAAUGUUUUUGGUGCACCAUUAUUAACAUUAGGGUUCAUGCUCUGGGUGUCCUGCUGUUGACACUUCCGAAGUAAGCCCUGUGACCAUCUUCAGAGCUCACUGAGCGAACACUGAUAUUUUGGGAGCUCAGCGAUGGACCUGGAGACUCCUCUUCUUUGUGGAUCAAGAAAAAAGUGAUUGCUGGGAAGAAAGAGACCUUCUCUGCAUGUGGUCAGACUAGAUGGUCACAUUGGUCACCUCUGGCUUUAUAAUCUAUUAAUCUAGUGGUCAGGGUUGGGGCAUGGGCAGGCUGGCCUAGGGGUUAGUGUCAGGCAUGGGCUCAGGGUCCAGAAGCCAAUUACCAGGAAUGAGACUAAGUUGGAAUAUCAGGAGAUCAGAAUCGACAGUCAAUAUCCAGGAGGUCAGGAUCAGAAGGCAGGAACAGGUAAACACCAGACUAGCAGUCCAUGGCAGGAUGAGACCGUUGUACAGAAAACUUCCCGUUUCUUCCUCUGGCUUAAAUAGAGGCUGCAGCCCAUUAAGGAGUUUUGGAUCUCACCCAAUCAGAGUGUAGGGGCAAGUCUUGUGGUCUAGUUGGGCUUCAUGGACCUCAGUCCUAGGUGCUGUCUGUGAGCUGCUGGGUGGAGAAUUGGAAUGUGAUGACUCCCAGGACACCUAUGCACCCAGGUUUCAGACCUGCAGGGCCUGAUAUCACCCCCUCCCUCCAAGGAGUGCCCUCUGGGUGUUGUGGGUCUGGGCUUCUCAGGGUGGUUCUUCUUGAAGGCUUAUUGUAUUAGAGCAGGUGUAUGAAUGUAUUUCCCUGGCUCCCACAUAUGCUCCUCAGGACCAUAAUCUUCCCAUCAAUAAGGUGUAAAAGUUUACCCUGCUGGCAUUUAGAAUCCAAGAUCUCAUGUAUGACAUUCUUUGAGGCCUUAUACACACACUGUCAAGGGAGGUGGUUGGGUCCUGUGUGAAAAUGAGUUCUUGAUAUAGGGUUUCAGGAGGGAUAUGUGGAAUACCGUGUGAAUCUUGAGAGAUUGGGGUAGGUGUAGUUCAGUGGUGACCUGAUAAGCUUGAUGGAUUUCAUAAGGGCCAAGGUACUGGAAGUCCAACUUGCGCGAGGGGGUCUGUUGAUACAGAGGUGUUCUUUUGAGAGCCACACUUUUUAUACCACUGAAUAGGUGGGACCUGGUUGAUGAUAUUGGUCUGCAUGUCACUUGUAGUUAGCUUUCACUUUUUUUUUCACGGUGGCCCCUUACUUCCUGAAUUUGAUGAAUCAUCUGCACUAAAUCUGAAGUGAUGGAGUUAGGGGAGGUCAUAGGUAAUUGUGGGUAGAAUCAGGGGUGGAACCCAUAGUUGGCAGAGAAGGGUUUUUUUUUCCUGUGGAUGCGUGAUCUGUGUUAUUGUACACAAAUUCCACGUAGGGUAGUAGUGCGGAGCAAUCCUCUUGAUGGUAGUUAAUAUAACAUUGUAGGUAUUGCUUUAAAAUCUGAUUGAUCCUUUCCAUCUGGCCAUUAGACUGAGGAUAGUAGGUGGAGGAGUAGUGAGGCUGGACCCCCAGAAAAUGUAGGGCCUCACGCCAAACUCGAGCUGUAAAUUGUGACCUUGGGUGUCUCUUUGGUAGAAGGUAACCUGGUGCAGGGCACACAAUAGACCAUUGUGUUGAAGUGGUCUACCACUGUCAAGAUCAUCAUGAACCUGUUGGACUCAGGGAGCUCCACGAUAAUCUCCAAUGCCAUAGUGGCCCAGGGUCGGAAUGGAGUGUCUAGAGGUCAAACUUAUACUGCAGGGUUUGUGGCAUGACAUCUUGGCUCAAGCCACAUCACAGGAUGGUAUGAUGGCCCGUAUUUUGGGGCUUAUUUAAGGCCACCAGAAAAGACCAGGUAUCAAUUGCUGAGUUUCAAAGCAACCCACGUGUCCUGCCAGUUGAAGUCAUGUCAUAACUGUAAGGCUGCCACUCUAGCCUGACCUGGAGGAAUGUAAAUGCUAUUAUUCACAGACGUGAUCCCCUCCUGAGUGUUAUGUCAUUCCCUGUUGAUGGCAGCUAGUUCGCUGGACAGAAUUUCUGAGUUAGAGGCAGAACAAAUCAGUGCAACUAGGUCCUAGCAAGGAGCAGCAUUCAGGAAGUUGUGGGGCUCGAGGAUGUGGGCCAGUUCCCAGCUAGGUCCAUGUGGUUCAGUAUCAAAGCUCUUGGACAAAGCGUCAGCUUUGCUUUUCUAGUUCUGGGGCAACAUAUGAUAGUGAAGCUGAACUAUGAAAAGAAUAGAGCCCACCAGAGUUGCCGUUGAUUUAAUGUCUUUGCCUUUAGCACAUAUUCCAGGUUUCUGUGGUCAGCGAACAGUUGGACUGGAUGGUGAGCCCCUUCCUAAUAAUGUCACCACUCCUCAAAGGAUGUCUUAAUGGCUA